UACGGAGGGUGCUAGCGUUGUUCGGAAUUACUGGGCGUAAAGAGCGCGCAGGCGGUCGUACAAGUCGCGUGUGAAAGCCCCCCGGCUCAACUGGGGAGGGUCACGCGAUACUGAUCGACUCGAAGGCAGGAGAGGGUAGUGGAAUUCCCGGUGUAGUGGUGAAAUGCGUAGAUAUCGGGAGGAACACCAGUGGCGAAGGCGACUACCUGGCCUGUUCUUGACGCUGAGGCGCGAAAGCUAGGGGAGCAAACGGG
rnacentral:rRNA from 1 species